UACAGAGGUCCCAAGCGUUGUUCGGAUUCACUGGGCGUAAAGGGUGCGUAGGUGGUGAGGUAAGUCGGAUGUGAAAUCUCCGGGCUCAACCCGGAAACUGCAUUGGAAACUACCUUGCUUGAGGAUUUGAGGGGGGAUUGGAAUACUUGGUGUAGCAGUGAAAUGCGUAGAUAUCAAGUGGAACACCAGUGGCGAAGGCAGGUCACUAUGUCUUAACUGACGCUGAUGGACGAAAGCGUGGGGAGCGAACAGG
rnacentral:rRNA from 1 species